AGUGAACGCUGGCGGCGUGCUUAACACAUGCAAGUCGAACGAGAACGGAUUAUAGCUUGCUAUAAUUGUCAGCUAAGUGGCGCACGGGUGAGUAAUGUAUAGGUAAUAUGCCUCUUACUAAGGGAUAACAAAUGGAAACGUUUGCUAAUACCUUAUACUCCUUAUUAACAGAAGUUAAUAAGGGAAAGAUUUAUUGGUAAGAGAUUAGCCUGUAUUGUAUCAGUUAGUUGGUGGGGUCAUGGCUUACCAAGACUAUGACACAUAACUGGUUUGAGAGGAUGAUCAGUGACACUGGAACUGAGACACGGUCCAGACUCCUACGGGAGGCAGCAGUGGGGAAUAUUGCAAAAUGGACGAAAGUCUGAUGCAGCAACGCCGCGUGGAGGAUGACACAUUUCGGUGCGUAAACUCCUUUUAUAUGAGAAGAUAAUGACGGUAUUAUAUGAAUAAGCACCGGCUAACUCCGUGCCAGCCGCCGCGGUAA
rnacentral:rRNA from 1 species